AUUGAACGCCGGCGGCAUGCCUUACACAUGCAAGUCGAAUGGUAACGGGUCCUUCGGGAUGCCGACGAGUGGCGAACGGGUGAGUAAUAUAUCGGAACGUGCUCAGUAGUGGGGGAUAACUGCUCGAAAGAGCAGCUAAUACCGCAUACGACCUGAGGGUGAAAGGGGGGGAUCGCAAGACCUCUCGCUAUUGGAGCGGCCGAUAUCAGAUUAGCUAGUUGGUGGGGUAAAGACCUACCAAGGCAACGAUCUGUAGUUGGUCUGAGAGGACGACCAGCCACACUGGGACUGAGACACGGCCCAGACUCCUACGGGAGGCAGCAGUGGGGAAUUUUGGACAAUGGGCGCAAGCCUGAUCCAGCAAUGCCGCGUGCAGGAAGAAGGCCUUCGGGUUGUAAACUGCUUUUGUCAGGGAAGAAAUCUUCUGGGCUAAUACCCCGGGAGGAUGACGGUACCUGAAGAAUAAGCACCGGCUAACUACGUGCCAGCCGCCGCCGUAA
rnacentral:rRNA from 1 species